UCAAAAGAGAAAGCUGUCAAAGAAGGCUGUUUCAUGUUUAUUGUUUAUAUUCUCUGAUUUGCACAAUGGAUUUGCAUGGCUCAGUGGCUGCAAAACUAUGAAAAAAAGUAUGAACUUCUUCGCGAAUAGUAAAAUUAAAGUAGAGACACAGUCGUAUGAGUUCAAACAACCAGCGCCUGGCUGUAGCAAGUUCAUGAACGAUGUUUAUCUCGAAAACUUUUGCGUUUGUUGUCUUGCUAAUGGAAUAUCGCUGGUGAAAUUAAGCAGUUGUUCUCACAGUGGUUUUUUAAAGUCUUAUUUUCUUAACGAAAUCAACUUUCAGAAAUCAUUACUAUGUGACCACUGCCAUGCUAUAUUGAAAAAGAUCAGCACAUUCAAAAGCCAAGUGGAAUGCUGUGUGAAACAGCAGCAAAAGACUGUAAGUUGGAUAAAACUUCGAAGAUCAAAUAUAGUAAGAGCGUCAGUCAACCCUGAAGAUGUUAAACCAAUCAUGCGGAAUGCCGUAUUCAUACCGGAAAGUUUACCGGAAAUUCCGGACGAAGCUGAAGACAUGGAUAUAAAAGAGGAAUAUAUAUCGGAUGAAAGUACAAAAUCAGCUUUCACGUACGGCUACGAUGACGAUUAUGUGGAGGAAGAGAUACCGAAAGGGAAAAAUUUUGAAAAACAGGAAAUUCCGGAUAUAAAGCUGAUAAACCGGGCCACCACAGGUCAGAAUAUACAGUCAAACACUCUUCAUCAGUGCGAGAUAUGUAUGGCCAAAUUCGCAGAGAAGGAACACAUGCUGAACCACCAAACAAAACAUAAUCAGCCCACGCCAACAAAACCUAAGCCAAAACAGAAGAAAACAAUUGUUAAAACAAAAACAUCUUUGCCGGUCACGAAUCAGUACCAAUGUUUCGUAUGUAAUGCAACGUUUGAUGCCGAAGCAGCUUUAGAUAACCACAGACAAGAACACGAGAAGAUAAGGUUCGCUCGCAGCGACCUCUACGGCAAGAUAAGAAUGGUCUACCUCACCAGAGAACAGCUGGAAGCCGAGAGGGACGUGAUGCGAGCCACAGAGUACGCGAUGUACCAGAAUAAGUGUCAUUAUUGCUUGAAGAGUUUCAGCCUUGAGGACUCGCUGAAGUUGCACAUGAGGAGGCAUGACAAGAAAAGAGGCAAGUAUACGUGCCCUGUAUGCAAAUGUGUGUUUAAUAAAAGCACUAGCAUGAAACAGCAUGAAGAGCUUCAUUGGCGACGAUAUCAAUGCAUGGAAUGCGGAAAGAAAUUCAUUCAAGAUAGAAAAUGCAUCGCGCAUUACAAUGUAGAGCAUGCUGAUAAACACAAUCAAAUCGACGACUACUACGCGUGCCGGCAUUCGGAUUGCAACUAUAUUGCCAGUGACUUCGCAACAUACAGAAAACAUUUGAGAGAAAUCCAUCCUUCUAAAGUACAAUGUAAUCAAUGUAAUCAUGUUUUCCCUAACGCCUGGGAGCUGAAAUGCCACAAAAGAAACAAACACGAGGAAACACAUCAGGGUCCAUUCAAAUGUCACCAUUGUGAUAAGAAGUAUGCAGGCAAAAAUAGCCUCAGAAACCACGUACGCACAAACCAUAGACUAAUACCGGUGCUCAAGGAUAUCGCCUACUGCAAAACUUGCAAGAAACAGUUUAAAGAUAAAACAAGUCUGGUGAUACAUAUGAGGAAUAAUUCCAAACACGUCACGGACGAUGGGAAGAAGAACUGUCGGAGGGGCCGCGGUCGGUCACAAACAUCUGCCUGACUGGAGAUCUUCCCCCCAUAGAGGAACGCAACCAUCUGUUCCUCUACAGUGGCGUGUACCUUUACGCCGCUAAACCUGUACGCCCCUGACCCACCCUCCAAAAGUUAUGUAACUCUAAGGUACACGUGUGACCUUUGCGGUGCGAAGUUCGUCACCAAAACAGGUAUCCAGUCGCACGUAGAGAUGAAGCAUUUACCCUGCACGUACCAGUGUGACCAGUGUAAUAAGAUAGUCAGCUGCAGCAGGGCUCUAAGGAAACACAUGAAAGACCACAGCGAGAAACCAAAA
rnacentral:misc_RNA from 1 species